UUAUACUCCAAUGAAGAUGUAAAAAAAAAAAAAAAAAAAGAUUAGCAUGGCCCCUGCGCAAGGAUGAUACGCAAAUUCGUGAAGCCUUCCAUAUUUUU
rnacentral:snRNA from 1 species